AGCGUACACGGUGGAUGCCCUGGCAGUCAGAGGCGAUGAAGGACGUGCUAAUCUGCGAUAAGCGUCGGUAAGGUGAUAUGAACCGUUAUAACCGGCGAUUUCCGAAUGGGGAAACCCAGUGUGAUUCGUCACACUAUCAUUAACUGAAUCCAUAGGUUAAUGAGGCGAACCGGGGGAACUGAAACAUCUAAGUACCCCGAGGAAAAGAAAUCAACCGAGAUUCCCCCAGUAGCGGCGAGCGAACGGGGAGCAGCCCAGAGCCUGAAUCAGUGUGUGUGUUAGUGGAAGCGUCUGGAAAGGCGCGCGAUACAGGGUGACAGCCCCGUACACAAAAAUGCACAUGCUGUGAGCUCGAUGAGUAGGGCGGGACACGUGGUAUCCUGUCUGAAUAUGGGGGGACCAUCCUCCAAGGCUAAAUACUCCUGACUGACCGAUAGUGAACCAGUACCGUGAGGGAAAGGCGAAAAGAACCCCGGCGAGGGGAGUGAAAAAGAACCUGAAACCGUGUACGUACAAGCAGUGGGAGCACGCUUAGGCGUGUGACUGCGUACCUUUUGUAUAAUGGGUCAGCGACUUAUAUUCUGUAGCAAGGUUAACCGAAUAGGGGAGCCGAAGGGAAACCGAGUCUUAACUGGGCGUUAAGUUGCAGGGUAUAGACCCGAAACCCGGUGAUCUAGCCAUGGGCAGGUUGAAGGUUGGGUAACACUAACUGGAGGACCGAACCGACUAAUGUUGAAAAAUUAGCGGAUGACUUGUGGCUGGGGGUGAAAGGCCAAUCAAACCGGGAGAUAGCUGGUUCUCCCCGAAAGCUAUUUAGGUAGCGCCUCGUGAAUUCAUCUCCGGGGGUAGAGCACUGUUUCGGCAAGGGGGUCAUCCCGACUUACCAACCCGAUGCAAACUGCGAAUACCGGAGAAUGUUAUCACGGGAGACACACGGCGGGUGCUAACGUCCGUCGUGAAGAGGGAAACAACCCAGACCGCCAGCUAAGGUCCCAAAGUCAUGGUUAAGUGGGAAACGAUGUGGGAAGGCCCAGACAGCCAGGAUGUUGGCUUAGAAGCAGCCAUCAUUUAAAGAAAGCGUAAUAGCUCACUGGUCGAGUCGGCCUGCGCGGAAGAUGUAACGGGGCUAAACCAUGCACCGAAGCUGCGGCAGCGACGCUUAUGCGUUGUUGGGUAGGGGAGCGUUCUGUAAGCCUGCGAAGGUGUGCUGUGAGGCAUGCUGGAGGUAUCAGAAGUGCGAAUGCUGACAUAAGUAACGAUAAAGCGGGUGAAAAGCCCGCUCGCCGGAAGACCAAGGGUUCCUGUCCAACGUUAAUCGGGGCAGGGUGAGUCGACCCCUAAGGCGAGGCCGAAAGGCGUAGUCGAUGGGAAACAGGUUAAUAUUCCUGUACUUGGUGUUACUGCGAAGGGGGGACGGAGAAGGCUAUGUUGGCCGGGCGACGGUUGUCCCGGUUUAAGCGUGUAGGCUGGUUUUCCAGGCAAAUCCGGAAAAUCAAGGCUGAGGCGUGAUGACGAGGCACUACGGUGCUGAAGCAACAAAUGCCCUGCUUCCAGGAAAAGCCUCUAAGCAUCAGGUAACAUCAAAUCGUACCCCAAACCGACACAGGUGGUCAGGUAGAGAAUACCAAGGCGCUUGAGAGAACUCGGGUGAAGGAACUAGGCAAAAUGGUGCCGUAACUUCGGGAGAAGGCACGCUGAUAUGUAGGUGAAGCGACUUGCUCGUGGAGCUGAAAUCAGUCGAAGAUACCAGCUGGCUGCAACUGUUUAUUAAAAACACAGCACUGUGCAAACACGAAAGUGGACGUAUACGGUGUGACGCCUGCCCGGUGCCGGAAGGUUAAUUGAUGGGGUCAGCGCAAGCGAAGCUCUUGAUCGAAGCCCCGGUAAACGGCGGCCGUAACUAUAACGGUCCUAAGGUAGCGAAAUUCCUUGUCGGGUAAGUUCCGACCUGCACGAAUGGCGUAAUGAUGGCCAGGCUGUCUCCACCCGAGACUCAGUGAAAUUGAACUCGCUGUGAAGAUGCAGUGUACCCGCGGCAAGACGGAAAGACCCCGUGAACCUUUACUAUAGCUUGACACUGAACAUUGAGCCUUGAUGUGUAGGAUAGGUGGGAGGCUUUGAAGUGUGGACGCCAGUCUGCAUGGAGCCGACCUUGAAAUACCACCCUUUAAUGUUUGAUGUUCUAACGUGGACCCGUGAUCCGGGUUGCGGACAGUGUCUGGUGGGUAGUUUGACUGGGGCGGUCUCCUCCUAAAGAGUAACGGAGGAGCACGAAGGUUGGCUAAUCCUGGUCGGACAUCAGGAGGUUAGUGCAAUGGCAUAAGCCAGCUUGACUGCGAGCGUGACGGCGCGAGCAGGUGCGAAAGCAGGUCAUAGUGAUCCGGUGGUUCUGAAUGGAAGGGCCAUCGCUCAACGGAUAAAAGGUACUCCGGGGAUAACAGGCUGAUACCGCCCAAGAGUUCAUAUCGACGGCGGUGUUUGGCACCUCGAUGUCGGCUCAUCACAUCCUGGGGCUGAAGUAGGUCCCAAGGGUAUGGCUGUUCGCCAUUUAAAGUGGUACGCGAGCUGGGUUUAGAACGUCGUGAGACAGUUCGGUCCCUAUCUGCCGUGGGCGCUGGAGAACUGAGGGGGGCUGCUCCUAGUACGAGAGGACCGGAGUGGACGCAUCACUGGUGUUCGGGUUGUCAUGCCAAUGGCACUGCCCGGUAGCUAAAUGCGGAAGAGAUAAGUGCUGAAAGCAUCUAAGCACGAAACUUGCCCCGAGAUGAGUUCUCCCUGACUCCUUGA
rnacentral:rRNA from 1 species